GGAUGUAAGGGUGAUCUGGCUGACCUGGCUGGCUUGGCGGGGGUCCCCUUCCUCCCCCAGCACUCCAUGAGAGCUCCAUGUGCAUCCCUCCUGAAGCUGCAUGCUCAGUUGAAAAGGACGACCUUCCCAGAACAGAGGAGGACCGGUCUUCAAGGGCCAAGGGAAUAUGAGUAGCUGCACGGCCCUGCUAGAACCCCCAAACAAGUUCUCAAAAUGAACAAAAUAUAAACCCCCAAACAAGUUCUCAAAAUGAACAAAAUAU
rnacentral:snRNA from 1 species